rnacentral:rRNA from 1 species
CCUACGGGAGGCAGCAGUGGGGGAUAUUGCACAAUGGGGGAAACCCUGAUGCAGCGACGCCGCGUGUGGGAAGACGGUCUUCUGGAUUGUAAACCACUGUCCCCAGGGACGAAGAUGACGGUACCUGGGGAGGAAGCUCCGGCUAACUACGUGCCAGCAGCCGCGGUAAUACGUAGGGAGCGAGCGUUGUCCGGAAUUACUGGGUGUAAAGGGAGCGUAGGCGGGACUGCAAGUAGGGUGUCAAAUCCACCGGCUCAACCGGUAGCCGCACUUGAAACUGCAGGUCUUGAGUGAAGUAGAGGCAGGCGGAAUUCCUAGUGUAGCGGUGAAAUGCGUAGAUAUUAGGAGGAACACCAGUGGCGAAGGCGGCCUGCUGGGCUUGUACUGACGCUGAGGCUCGAAAGUGUGGGGAGCGAACAGGAUUAGAUACCCCAGUAGUC